rnacentral:rRNA from 1 species
AUGAGCUCGUCGCCGCAGGCCUGGUCGCGGACCUUCCAGACGCACUCGAGCUUGAGCACGUCGGAGUCGCCCUUGCUGGGGAAGAGGAGCCGCCAUCCGACCACCUUGAAGAGCAGCUUGCGGGCGUCCUCCUCGGAGAGCGGCGCGGGGUCGGCGUCGAGCGGCACGCGGGAGAGCGAGAGCACGGAGAGCGUGGGAAUGAGGAUGCGGUGCAGCGUGUCCACGUUGCCCAGCGUCUUCUCCCCGAAGUUGCUCGCGAUCUCCUCCGGGAACGGGUCCCGCGCCCCGAAGUCGCCCAGGAUGUCCGCCAUCGCCACCACCUUGCGAACGCUUCUUCCCUUGCUGCUGGUGCCGAAGAGGAGGUUCCGCAUGGCGGCGGCGGGCUUGCCGGCGACGGGGAGGAAGGUCGCGGCCGGGCUGAGCAUGAGCGCCAUGGUGUAG